rnacentral:rRNA from 1 species
UGGGGAAUAUUGGACAAUGGGCGCAAGCCUGAUCCAGCCAUGCCGCGUGAGUGAUGAAGGCCCUAGGGUUGUAAAGCUCUUUCACCGGUGAAGAUAAUGACGGUAACCGGAGAAGAAGCCCCGGCUAACUUCGUGCCAGCAGCCGCGGUAAUACGAAGGGGGCUAGCGUUGUUCGGAUUUACUGGGCGUAAAGCGCACGUAGGCGGACUUUUAAGUCAGGGGUGAAAUCCCGGGGCUCAACCCCGGAACUGCCUUUGAUACUGGAGGUCUUGAGUAUGGUAGAGGUGAGUGGAAUUCCGAGUGUAGGGGUGAAAUUCGUAGAUAUUCGGAGGAACACCAGUGGCGAAGGCGGCUCACUGGACCUUUACUGACGCUGAGGUGCGAAAGCGGGGGGAGCAAACAGG